CUGAAUAGUUUCAAGACCUCAUCAAACCAUUAAGACCAUUGAAAUGCUCAGAAGGGUGGGGUGCUUGGGGUAUGAUUACAUUCUUGCUAAAGCCCCAUUCUCUUAACGGGGUGGCUUCCCAUACUUCCAGGAAGAAGAAAAACCGAAGUUAGAGAUGUGCCAGGGGCCAGGGAGCUGUGCCGGGCUGAGCCUCGGGGAGAGGCACCACCACUAUACCAACUUUUGCAAAGACCAGAAGCAGCACGGUGUAACUGGGAAGCCAGGAGCCCCUUGCAGACGUACCACCUUCAUCAUUAACCCCUGGGAAAGAUUAUUGUCUCAGGAGGCCAAAAAGCACCAGACAAGAUUUCAUCCCGAAACUUUGCUGGCAAUGCCUUAGCUCCUUGCUCCACAGCCAUCACAAUUCCAACAGAGCAUGGUCCCUUAGCAUCUCCACCACAGCACCUGGGAGGUCAGCUGGUCCAACCGUCUCACCAGGUGUUUCCUGUAAGAGUGUCUGUGUGUCCAUCUUUUGCUUGAUCACUUCUAAAAGAGGAGCUCGCCCCUUCCCAAAGCCACCUUUCCGUCUUUAAAAUGACUAUACUUAUUAGAAAGUUCUCAUUUUGAACCAUAAUUUUCCCUUUCAGACAUGCUUUUGAAGAGAAAGAUGAGAACAAGUCUCAUUCCUUUUGCAGAUGAUGUCCUGGUACUUUUUUUUUUUUUUUUUUGAGAUUUUAUUUAUUUAUUCAUGAGAGACAGACAGAGAGAGAGAGAGGCAGAGACACAAGCAGAGGGAGAAGCAGGCUCCAUGCAGGGAGCCCAACAUGGGACUCCAUCCCGGGACUCCAGAAUCACACCCUGGGCCAAAGGCAGGCGCUUAACCGCUGAGCCACCCAGGAAUCCCCAGUGCCCUGGUACUUACUCAAAGUGUCCCGGUACUUCCUCAAAGCCAACUAAGCUAUAGUCGCAUCUAACCUGGCUCCCAGCCUCAGCCUCCCUCCCCGCUCCCUGGCUCCGGCCACCUCAUCCUUAACUCUGGACUCAGCUCAGCUCUGGGGUACUGGGACUAAUCUUGGCCUCGGGCAGGAGGGAUUUAAGGCACUCUAGCCCAACUGUGUGGGAUUAAAAAUCAAUUUUCUCUCAAUGCUAAUCUGGAUAAUGUGGUUCUAUUGUUGUGUCUUUUGUUUCUGAUUAAACAGGCUUCUACUUAUUUUGGUAAUAAUAAUAAUAGCUAUUAUUUUGUGAGUGUUCACCAUGCGCCAGAUACUGUGCUCAGCACGUUAUCCUGCAAUCCUACCAGCAGUUCCCCAGAGUUGAUAUUAUUGCCCUUGGUGUACAGAUGAGGAAACCGAAGCCCGGGGAGGUAUGGUGAUGUUCCCAAGGUCAUGGAUGUCAUAAGU
rnacentral:lncRNA from 12 species